rnacentral:rRNA from 1 species
GAACGCUAGCGGCAGGCCUAAUACAUGCAAGUCGAACGGUAACAUGAAUAGCAAUAUUUGAUGACGAGUGGCGCACGGGUGCGUAACGCGUAUGCAAUCUACCUUCAACUGGUGAAUAGCCCGAAGAAAUUCGGAUUAACACACCAUAGUAUAUUACGAGUGGCAUCACUUAAAUAUUAAAACUCCGGUGGUUGAAGAUGAGCAUGCGUGACAUUAGCUAGUUGGUGAGGUAAUGGCUCACCAAGGCUACGAUGUCUAGGGGAUCUGAGAGGAUUAACCCCCACACUGGUACUGAGACACGGACCAGACUCCUACGGGAGGCAGCAGUAAGGAAUAUUGGACAAUGGUCGCAAGACUGAUCCAGCCAUGCCGCGUGCAGGAUGACGGC